GACGAACGCUGGCGGCGUGCUUAACACAUGCAAGUCGAACGGAAAGGCCCUGCUUUUGUGGGGUGCUCGAGUGGCGAACGGGUGAGUAACACGUGAGUAACCUGCCCUUGACUUUGGGAUAUCUUCAGGAAACUGGGGCUAAUACCGGAUAGGAGCUCCUGCUGCAUGGUGGGGGUUGGAAAGUUUCGGCGGUUGGGGAUGGACUCGCGGCUUAUCAGCUUGUUGGUGGGGUAGUGGCUUACCAAGGCUUUGACGGGUAGCCGGCCUGAGAGGGUGACCGGCAACAUUGGGACUGGGUUACGGCCCAGACUCCUACGGGAGGCAGCAGGGGGGAAUAUUGCACAAUGGGCGGAAGCCUGAUGCAGCAACGCCGCGUGCGGGAUGACGGCCUUCGGGUUGUAAACCGCUUUCGCCUGUGACGAAGCGUGAGUGACGGUAAUGGGUAAAGAAGCACCGGCUAACUACGUG
rnacentral:rRNA from 1 species